rnacentral:rRNA from 1 species
CGUUAUCCGGAUUCACUGGGCGGUAAAGCGCGUGCAGGCGGUUUGGUAAGUUGGGCGUGAAAGCUCCCGGCUCAACUGGGAGAGGUCGUCCAAUACUACCGGACUAGAGAACAGAAGAGGAAGAUGGAAUUCCCGGUGUAGUGGUGAAAUGCGUAGAUAUCGGGAGGAACACCAGUGGCGAAGGCGGUCUUCUGGUCUGUUUCUGACGCUCAGACGCGACAGCUAGGGUGAGUACACAACGGGAUUAGAGACCCCGGUAAUCCUAGCCGUAAACGAUGUGAACUUGGCGUUGGUGGCUUAAACACCAUCAGUGCCGAAGCA